rnacentral:rRNA from 1 species
UACGUAGGGGGCAAGCGUGGUCCGGAUUCAUUGGGCGGAAAGAGCGUGUAGGCGGCCAGGUAGGGCGGGUGUGAAAACUGGAGGCUCAACCUUCAGAGGUCGACCGAAACCAUCUGGCUAGAGUCCGGGAGAGGAGAGUGGAAUUCCUGGUGUAGCGGUGAAAUGCGCAGAUAUCAGGAAGAACACCCGUGGCGAAAGCGGCUCUCUGGAACGGUACUGACGCUGAGACGCGAAAGCGUGGGGAGCGAACAGG